GUUAAAGAAUCUAACCAGAAAAAACUUGAAUUUAAAUACGAAAGUUUCCUUAUUAGACGGAUUACAAGUGAACAACUUUGUGAUGGAAGCAAGAAAAGAAAGAAACAACUUCACUAACCACUUCAGCUAAAGAAUAAUCAAAAUGUUACAAUUUGAGCACGUCAUUUUAUAUACCUUCCUGAGGAACCUGAGAGAAUAAGUUCCAACGCUUUUCAAUCGGUCUAUAAAGACCAAAAUACUAGGGUAUACUUCAUCUUAAACUUAUGAGGUUCUUGAAAUACAUGUUGCACUCCCAGAGUAAGUCACAUGAUAUUAGGGUGCUCUUGCAUCCAGUGUUGCAUUUCACACCUAUAACAUUGUUUGACACAUGAACUUACAUGAACAGACUUAUUAUCAGCCAAACACUACCAACAGCAUCCACGAACAACCUUGCAAAAAAAGGAAACUGUUAAAAAGAGUAUCAGCUUGCAAUGGGUAAUCAAUCAAGGAGUAUCAACCGUUUGAGGAUAUAUAUAUAUAUAUUGUGUCAUCUACUAUAUCGAGAUAGAAGCACACUGCUGAUUCUUGAAUAGACACGUCGAUGUGUUACAUGGUUCACAUAUGAUUCUUGAUUAGACAAUACACAUAUGCAUACGCUGCCAGGCUUAAAACAAAUCUCUAGUUGAACGUUGAAUUGGAAACCAUCUAUAUAUACCAAUAAGCUAUGUUGCUCGGACUCUUCAACAAUGUACGCGGAUACAUGUCGGAUUCUCCAAAAGUAGUGUAUUUUUGGAUAAUCCAACACAUGUACGACAUCGAAAGUGGAGUAUGUGCAACUUAGCCAAUAAGGGGAUAUUAUUUCUAGUGUUAAGAGAAUCAUAAAUAAAUCGCAAAGGCUGUAAGACUGCAGUGACUUAACUCAUCAUAAACAAUGGCCAAAACGUUUCAAUUAUUUAGUUAAUUAGCCGAAACGUUCUAUCCCAACUCGGAUCCGUGCAACCCAUUUUAUUUAAAAUACUUUACCAUUUUAUUUGAAUUUCCCACCAUUGGAGAUGACUAUUCUGAAAGGUUGCAACUUUCAAGAAGAAUCAUGACCGUUUGAAAGGUUGCGAACUUUCUGGAAUGGUCGUGUGGUUUCUGAAAGGUUGCAACCUUUCUGAACCAGUUCCUCUUGGCUGUAAAUACCAGUGAUUCUUCGGACUUUUUACUUAUGAAAUUUUUUUAUUUCUUUUUCUUCUUCUGCACAAAUUUCAUUCGUCUACUUUGCUGCCGUUAAGUGGCUCGCUGACACCAGAGUUUUAUGUAUCAAUACGCUGGUGAUUGAGAUCAUUCUAUCCUAGGAGGACAUAUUCCAAAUCAAACCUCGGAUACUAGAGGGGAAUAAUUUCCUUAAUAGGACACUAUGCAUUCAGUGGGCUUGAUCUUUUUUCCUUAUGUUUAUUAUAGAUUUUGGUAUGUUUUACAGAUUUUAGUUUUUGUUAAUUAAUUUAUGUUCUUCGCUGUGUGAUUUAAACUUUGGUAACUUAGUGUUUCUGCAAAGUUUUUGUUAUCACUAGUAUUGUUUAGAAUACAGAUUGUGUAACAGAAAGUGCAUCAAGAAAAUUGGAUUGUUGGAGGAAAAAUGCUUUAAUAAUUGAAUAUUGAUGAGAAAGUGCAUUAACAAAACUGGAAUGUUGGAGAGAAAGUGCUCCAACAAUUAAAGAUUGAAGAGAAAAUGCAAGUGCAUAACAAUUGAAAUGUUGGAGAGAAAGGUGCUCCAACAAUUGAAGGUCGAAGAGAAAGCGCUUCAAAAAAUUGGAAGUUGGCGGCAAAUGCAUCAACAAAGUGGAAGUUUCUAACAUGUGCAUCAAUGAGAGUUGAAGGAAAAUUUCAACAAAUUAAUAAUUGGUGACAAGUUCUUCAACGAGAGUUGAAGAGAAAUUGCUUCAACAAAUUGAUAGAUUGGGUUCAAUAUAGGUACCUAGGACCGUGCAUGAGAGUUUUGAAUAUACUCUCGAUCAUUAAAUAAUGAUAUCAUAACAUAGUCUAAGGGACACUUUAUCUAAAAGAAUCUAAAUCAUGAUAAUCAUACAUAUUAAAUGAUAAUUUAUCUGAAAACAUCCUUAUUCAUAAAAAUCUGAUAAUUUGAAGCAUGCAUGUGAAAAUAGCAUAAUUAUGAUCAAGAAAAUACUUUCAUGUUAUGAGUUCAUGAUAAUAUCACUGAAAAAUUGAAUUAGAAUAUAUUCAUUCAUAAUAUGAUCAAUCAUGAAAAAAAUUAUAAUUCAACAAGAAUCCAUGAGAAAUCAUGAAAACCUAGAAUUUGGGUAAUCCAUAUAUUAAGAAAAUGAGGCUUUUUUAGGGACUCAAUGAGUGAAGAAGAACCUAUUGUUGAAGUUUCUACAUACCUUGAUUGAAAUCCUAACUUGAAUUUGGAAGAGGAGACUUGAAACUUAAAUCCCUGUUCUUGCCUUGAGAGAGAAGAAAUUGAUUUUCAGAGAAUGAGAGGAAAUGAGGGGAAAUGAGGAAGUUAUGGUAAUUAGGAAUCAUAUAUACCAACUUAAAAUAGGCCAAAAUGAUGUAGUAUAGAAAUUAAGAAAGUGGUAAAAGACUAUAAUAACCCUGACUAAAGUCUAUUGAUAGCCAUUCACAGACACCUUUUACAGUCAGUAAAACUGUUCGCGGACCAUGAAAGGUCUCGUAGAAGGCAAAAAGGAAAACUGGGCUACUGAAGUUUGGAUCUACGGACCCUUCCACAGUAUGUAAAAGACAACAAGGCCCGUUCAUAUGUCUGUAGAAGCUGAGAUCCCUUAUUACUGAAGUUCCAAUGUACAAACCAUUCUACGGUUUGUAAUACUUUCCACGACCCAUCUCGGCCUUCCAUGAAAGGUAAGGGAUGCCGAACAUUUUUGAAGUUCAGAGCUUUGGUCUAUGAAUUCAUGCAUGAUUUAGAACCAUCCAUGAGCCUUAAAAACUUUUCGUACUAUCAACCCAUUUUUCAACUUUAUGAAGAUGACCUAUGGAUUGGUCUACGAUCCGUCAAGCCUGUCGUAACCCUGAUACUGAAAAUUCAAACUUCUGAAGUUCUCUUCACGGGUGGCAUCUACGGACCAUGCAAACUUAUACAGUCCGUAAACACUUUCUAUGAAACUCAAAAAUUGCAAACUUCAACAGUUCUUCUACACUUUACAACUUUUAUCUAAGUUAGGUACUUCAUAGGUGUUAAACAAAUUGAGAACAUGAAGUAAAUACAUGAGGCUUUGGCUACUUCUAUUGAUGCAUCAGUGACAUUGAUGACUGAUGAAGAUGAAUUGAAACAAAAACAAGAAGAAACAAUUCUCCAAAAAUAUGUCUCUUAUUCUUCGCUUCAAAAAUCUUUACUUCAACAUAAGCCUCUUUUAGUAUUUCUAAUAUUCAAAAUAUCCCUCCCUCUUCUAUAAUUUGAAUCACAACCUUUUUUUUUCAUUAGAGCAAAUGGUUUCUUGCAACAGAUAUAGUUGUAUAAUUUAAUUACUUGUUUAUGUGCUUACAAUAAAUUUUGAUGUAUAAAAAAUAAAUCAACCACUAACAAAAUUUGAAGAAGUAAGAAUAUUUUAUCAAUAAACGUUUGGGUAAGGUUCUGUAUAUCCCUUGAUUCUUCUCUCUAAUUUUUCUUUAUAACUAGAUGGCUGGCAGUAGCGUAUUUCUUGAAUAUAGGAUGAUUUGGACCUUCUUAGGAUGUAUUUGAUUGCUGAAUGUCACAUCUUUGACAAAGACAAUAUUUGAUGACUCGAUCUAUUUAUGAACAUACCAAGAAUUUAUUGCAUUUUUAGAUGUCUGUUAAAGGAAAUAUAUUAUCGUUUAAAUAGACAUGACCUAGAAUUUAGGGUAGAGUAGCUUUCAAGAACCCCAACUAAAAUUGAACUCGUUUUGUAGAGUCCCACAAAUUUUGUAUGUCUACUCCCCUAUAUCCAAGGCUUGUUGGAGUGUAGACUCAAUGAAACUUAAAAAGGAGACUUGAAGUACUCAUAAAAAUAAAGGUUCCAUCUUUGCAAUUUUGUGGCUUCUGAUUUACAAAGCUGAUUUGUUAGAGAAGAGAUGAAGGACAAACUUCAUCCCAUCGAAUGUUCCAAUUUGUUUCAAAUAAAAUUUUAAUAUGAAAAAUAACCAAACAACAACAAAUAAAAUCUGAAGAAGCAAGAAUAUUUAAUUAAUAAACAAUCUAGGUAUUUUGUAACGAUCCAAUUAGAGAUCGUGACCCAGUGAUGCUAAGGGAAUCAAAUUUCAAAGUAAGUAUUAGUAGAAACUUAAAGAAAAUCGAGGAAAUUUUUCCUAGUUUCUGGGCAUAUACAAAAAAUUCCUAUCUCAAAAAUCAACAAAACAACUAACCAACAUAUUCAAACAAGACACAUAUUAAUCAGCAAUCUAUACACAAGGUAAUAGUACUAAAUUCAUCUCCAAAUACGAAAAAAGUCUGAUUCUAGCCAUACAUCUAUAAUAACAAAAGAAUAUUCAUGAAUCAAAUAAAGAAAAUGACUAUGGAGUGAAUCAUAGAGUUCAAAGAAAGUUUGAAAAAAAAUAAGCUUGAUGCCCACACGAACAAGUGUGGGGCUCAUCAAGAAUUUCCAACUUGUAAGUUCUAAUUAAUAAAAUAUUUACCAACAUCACUUGUCUUUUUAUGUAAAAUAUAUUGGGGAGUGAAACACUAGUUCAAUGAGUAAUAAUGAUUAACCUCAACCAUUAUUAAUGUGAUAAGUCAGUAAACAUACUAUUAAGAUAAUAAAAAAAUAUCUUGAAAUAAUGCUCCCUUCAAGAAAUGGUAACAAUAACUAGUACAUUUGUUUCAUGUAAAAAAGUCAAGUAACAUUUUAGUAAUAAACUUUGUAACACCCCUGUUAUUUAAAAGAGCUAAAAUUAGAAAGAACCAUUUUUCGGAAAAGAGUAAAAAUCUGAAAUUUGGCAAGUUAUGUUAAAUAUAAGUUUUGGAUCAACUUCAAACAACCAUAACUCCUAGCACAUGAUGAGUUAGGUGGGCAACAAUAUACCGUAUGAAAGGUCUUUGAAUUAUCUUUCCAACGCCACUGAUUUUUCUCAUUUUCAAGUUCGUAUAUGGGAGAUAUGUCCGUUUGAAGUCGGGCUGUCUGGAUAAGGAAAGUCAAAACUGGAUUUUAGAAGGGUAUUUUGGUCUUUUCAUUACCCAAUUAGCUUAAUUCGAUUUUGGUCAUUACUUAGGGGUCUAAACUGAAUUUGUUCAGUUUACGCACUCAAAUUAUACGCUAGGGUUUUAGAGAAAAGAACUCAACAAGAGAAAAGAAGAGAAAGGUCAAGAUUCGUCGAUUUCUUGAGGAACUGAUUGCGGAUUUCUCCAAGGAUUCAAUCCUACGAGGUAUGUGAGUUAACAUAGCAUUGGGUUCGCUCACCCACGCGGCAAACAUGUUUAUUUCAGCGUGAAUUCGUCCUAAAAAGAUUGAAAGUUUGAUGUUCUUGAUGUGUGUUCUUGAAUUUGCUUUCGUUCUUGAAUUGGGCUGAGAUUGAGGAGUUUUGAGAUAAUCGUGUCAAUUUUUAAAGUUGCUUUGAGUUAGAUUCUUGUGUACAUGUAUUGGGUAUAUGAAUCUAAAGGGAAAUUGAGAAAAAGAAUUGAAUUAAAUCGAAUUAAGGUCAGAAAAUGAGUUGAAAAGUUCGUCGGGUUAGCCAGGGGCAAAUCUGGCAUGACGCGCCAGAACUGGGUCUCCAAACUUAGGGGAUGGCUCCCCACACCAGCAGUGCGCCAGGGUCGCCUGGCCCAACCCGUUCUUCAUCGUUUAGCCCGUCUGAGUCCUUCUAAAGUGUACUAACAAUUCCUAUCGAUUCUAACUACUCUAAGUGACUUCUAAACAUUUAGAAAUCAUCGGUAAACACGAAUCAUAACCUUGAAUCCAUAAAUUCAAAUUCAAGAAAAGUUAAGAGCCAAGUCUAGAGAGUUCUUAGAGUCUUUUCAAAAGUCUUUUGCAAACGUUUUAAACUUGUAUUAAAGACUUGAGUAUUGAGUUGAGUAAGAGUAAGAAUGGAGUUCAUUUCUUCAAAAGAUUAUAUGGGAACUAAGUAUUCCCAAGAGUAAAAUGUUUUCACAUUCAAACAAGAGAGGAAACACCGAUUUCCAAGAGAGCUUUUGAGCUAGUUUUUGAGUAAUAAUCUCAAACCACAGAGAAAGAGUAAUGUUUUUAAACAUAUGAGCUAAGUACAUUUUAGGAGUAGUAUUGAGCACCGAUAUGGGGACGAGUUCAUAAUAACUCAAGUCUCCAUAAACCUUGUAGCCAUCGUGGGUAGAAAGGUUCAUACUUUUUAAAUGAUUCAUUAAUGCUUUUUUGCAUAGACUAGUGGAUCCACUUUGUAACGACCCUAAAAACGAACUAGUGAAACUAGAGCCUAAUGACUUUGUGUUGGGUUUGUAAUGACGUUUCAUGUUGUGUAAUGUUGCCCCGAACCUUGUUUGAUGGAGUUUAGUGAGUCAACGGCAAGGUACGUGAUAGACUCCGUAGUGGAAAGACCCUUUUUAAUGUUGGUUAAGGGUUGGAAAGGAAAGUACCAAACCAAGGGGGCAAGGCCUAAUCCAAAGGCCAAGGCUACCCAACCUUGGCCAAGCACUGUCCCAAGUCCACAGACCACUUCACGGUCAGUGUCCUUGACCACGGUCCGUAGAAGUGGCCGUGAAGGUCACUUGGUGGCAAGGCAAGCAAGGCAACUUGGCCAAGAAACUGCCUCAAGACCACUGACCACUUCACGUCCAGUGGUCAUGACCACGGUCUGUAGAAGUGCUCGUGAAGAUGAAUUGUCCAUGUGGAGGUUUAGCAAGGUCAAGGGAGCUACUGCCUAGAGGACCAUGGGCGGUGGACCCCUUUCACGAUCCGUAGAAGUGGACUUGGUCCCUGACGGGGCUACCCAAAUUAAGGGUUUUUAAGUAAUUUGCUUUAAUGUUUUAUUGAGUGGGGUUGAUUUUAAAUGGUUUAUAUCAUAAAUAUAAAUAGUUUCAAGUCCUAAAACACUUCAUUUACUCCUUUAUUCAAAACACCCAAAUCAAAACCCCAAAGUUCUUCCUCUCUCAAUAUUUCUCUAUUUAACUCAAGGAAGAAGAAGAAGUAAAAGCUAGGGUUUGGAUUCAAGGAUUUCUUCAUCAAAUUUCUUGGGGGAAUAUUAGUAAAGGUAUGGUGAUCCUUAAUCAAGGGUUAUUUUUCACCCUAGAGUCAAUUUCAAAGAAGUUUUCAAAUGUUUUAAAAGUUCAUGAAAAACCAAGGGUUUUACUCAAUCUCGUGGGUUCUUUCCCCAAACGAUUUCAAAUGGUUUAUAAUGUCAUAUAUUGAUUGUAUUGAUGUUUAAUUGGUUAUUUAUUAUUAAAAUAUUCCAUGAACCCAUGAUUUCUCUCAAUUCCUAAUUUGUGCCUUUAUGAAGUGGGUUUGUUGAUUAUGAAGGCUGAUGAUUGAAAUAUGUCUAAAUUGCUUUGAGAUAUUGAAUUGUAUAAUUAUCUAUACCUUAAUUAUGGUAAAAUUUUGGUGUGUUGAUUAUUUGAGAUUUAUGGCCUUGAAGGCAAGGUUUGACUAAAUUACAUGUUGAAGUAGAAUUGUCCUAGAGAUGUUGAUCCACUUGAAAGGUGGAGGUGUUUACUUACUAAGUAUAAGAAUGUGAAUUCAAUGAGGUUGAACUGAUCAUUCUUGAGGGUAAUUGUGUUGUUAUUGAAAGGCUAAUUCUCAAUUUGACACUCAUGUAUGAUGAUGAUGUAAUGUGAAGUGUUGUCUUCUAUAUAUGGUAAAUCUUGGAUUGGUAGGCCUAGGCAUCCUUUCUUGAGUAAUGAAUGUGUCUUGACUUGAUGAAUAUGAAUCGAUAGGCUAUGGCAUUCCUUUCAUAUAUGAGUGACGAAUGUGUCUUGACUUGAUGGCUAUGAAAUGAUAGGCCUUAGGCAUUCUUUUCAUAAAUGAUCUAAUGUAAUGAAGACCCAAUUUUAGGUUAGAGUUCCAAGGAAUAUCUUCCUAUCCCAUAACUAUGUGCCCACAUAGGAUAUUAGCCAGCGGAUUUCAUCCAAGCUAAGGAUUCAUCCGAGCUAAUGUUAUCGCUCUACCUUAGGCAAGUGGAACACCUUUUUACGGUGUGGGGCUAUAUGACACCAAAUUCCAUGUCUAGCUUGUGUGGUCUGUGUCGGUUAAACGCUUAUUCCCAUCAUGUGAGAUGUGCAUUAUGGUUUCUUGAAAGGUUCUAUGAAGUGUAGGUGGUAGUAUGGGAUGCCAUCUAUACAUUGAACUAGUAGGCUUUGAUAGGAUCAUAGUGAGUUCUCUAAGUCUUAAUGACUAUUGUAUGAAAGUCCUCUAAAUGAAGCAAUUGAAGAAUGUUGACUCUUAAAUCCUAAAUGUGAUAUGCAUGCCAUACUUGGGUUAUAUUAUGAGUUAUUUUCCCUUGUCAUGCCUUAUGAAAUGUUAUGUCUCUUUUAUAUGGAUAUGGUGUAAAGGUGAAAAUGAAUGGAUGGUAAGUUCACAUUUGGUGAUCUUAGUGUGGUGCCUUGGUGUGGAUAGUGGUAUGGGACGCUAUCCAUACAUAGCACAAGGUAUAGCAUGAGGGUUACUUGACAUGAGGUCUAAGGUAAUGGUAAUGGUUUACAUGAUGAUGUUGUCUAAAGGUGGUAUUAUGACUUGCAUGAUGAUUAUACUUGUAUUGUAUGUCUCUUAUGCUAUUGUACAUGAUAUUUCCAAAAAGUGGCAUAAUGCAUGGUUUCCAACCAAAAUGUCCCUUUUAAAGCAUGUUUUUGCAUGGUCAUCAUACUUAGUACAUUUUUGUGUGCUAACCCAUAUUUUCCUAUUUUUACUACAAGUGUAGGUUCCGGCAAGUGAUUGGUUCUAGCUAGGAUUGAAGUGCUUGGAUAGAGUUUUACUCCAAGACUUGGUAUGUCCUCAUAGGCUGAGGACAAGGACUUUUAUUAUUUUCUAGUUCUUUCUUAUUUUAAGACUAUUGUUAAGACUUCGAUUGUAAAGGGUCAUGACCCUAUCUUGUUAAAGUUUUGUCUAAAAUGGCCAUGUGAGACUUAGUCUUCCGCUAUGUCUUUUGAAAGUUUUCUAUGAGUAUUGAAUGUUUUGAAUCAUAUGGUUUUAAAUAUAAAGUUUUAAUUCCGCACUAUUUUCAUUAUAGAAUGCAAUGAAUGACUAUGAGGCUUGUAUAAGACCCUUCGGGGUCGAAUAUGCCAUUUUACGACUAGGGGGUGCUCUCGGGUCAUGACAUACUUAGUUGAGGCAUUCUAUAUCCUGGCAAGUUAUAGGACAGUUCUGGCAGCGUGUGCGAGACGUUGUACCAUCACAUAGGUCAUAGUGAUGGUUGUCAGUUAGAGAAACUCCCACAAAAGUAUAUUACUUUAUUAUAUAUUUAUAUAUAUACACUCACACACAUAUUGAGUUUUUAUUGUAUUUUUCAAUACAUGGAAUUGCUACCUACUGUUUAAAUGCUUUAUAUAAACUGCAUAUUUACUGUUGUUUAUUUAUGCAUUGAGUUGAGUAUCGAUGAGUUGAGUUAAGCUGAGGUAAGUGUUUAUUUUAGAAUUCAAUUCAAGUUUAUGUUAAGUUUAGUUUUCCCCUUGCAUAAUCGUACAUUCAAUGUACUGAUAUCAUUUGGCCUGCAUCGUUUUAUAAUGCAAAUACAAGUAAUCAGGAUCAGCAUCCAGCGCCUCGUUGAUCCAGUCGAGUACUAAGAGUCAAUUGGUGAGCCUUUUUGUUUUCCGUAGGAUCCCUUUUUACAUUGUAUUUAGCAUUUUCAGUUGUUAGGAUGACAGGGGGUCUUGUCCCGACAUCCCUCAUAGUUUAGAGGCUUCAUAGACAGUUAGUUAUUUGUUCUUUUGUCUUUCCAUUUUCAGUUGUUUAUGUUAAGACUUGAGUUACCACUUUGGAUAAGUUGAAUGUUUGUUUCUAAGGCAUUCUAAGUUUAGUUUGAGAUAGUUGAGUUUAAAUUGCAUUUGAAUUCUCCUACUAAUGCUUAAAGUCUUCCAUUGAAAGUCUAGCUAGACCGAGGGUUUGCUUGGGGCCAUAUAUGAUUCUCGAGUGUUGGCCACGUCCAGGGUGUAGGCUUAGGGUAUGACAAACUCGAUAAACACUAUCAUAUUAAUCUUAUCUCUGGAGAUUUUAAAAAAUGAAUCAUGUAAUUAGUGUGACCUUUUACUUCAACUGUAAUAUCUCAAAAAUGCCUAACUCGGAUAAAGUUGAAAAGUGCGGAAAAAGUUGUUGAAUUAUGUAAUUUUAGAUUUAUGAAAGGACUUAUAGACCGUAUAAAGUUGCAUGGUCCGUGGAUGUCUCUCGUGAAGUGAACUUCAGAAAUUGGAUUUUCAGAAUCAAGGUUGUGGUAGGUUUUACGGUCCGUAAAAAAAUUUACGGACCAUAGACCCAUCCGUAGAUCAUUGUCAUAAAGUUGGGAAAAAUGGAUUGAUAGGAUGGAUGCUUUGUACCACUCGUGAAAGGUUCUACAAACUGUGGAUGGGUCUAUAGACCAAGGUUUUGAAACUUCAAAAGUACAAAGGAUUUCCUAACGAAUGGAUAGGACAAACCGUAAAAGCAUUCACGAAAAAUGGAAUGGUUCGUAUAAGGAAAACUCUAGAAAUCAGGUUAUCAAUUUUUUCUUAAAAAAGAAAUCGAGCCCACUGAAUACACAGCGUCCCCUUAAGGAAAUUAUUCCCCUCAAAUACCCGAGGUUAAUGGAAUAUAACCUCCCAGGAUAGAACGAUCUUACACACCGGUGUAUCGGUACCUAAGACCACGGUGUCAGUGAACCACUCAACGAUAGUGAAGUACACUUAGAAAACUAGAUUUAGUAGUAGUAGAAGAAGUCCAGAUUUUAUUCUAUUUUUAAAAUGAGAGGAAAUCUCUUAAUUUAUAGAAAACAAAGGGUAGUGUGAAAAGGUUCUUAUUGUGCCUUACCGGAAAGGUCGCAACCUUUGGAAAGUCACAAUCUUUCGGAAAGGUCACAACCUUUCAUAAAAGUCACAACUUUUCAUAAAAGUCACAACUAAUCAUAAAAGUCACAAUUUUUCAUAAAAGUAAUAACUCUUCAUAAAAGUCGCAACUCUUCAUUGUCUAUUCACACCUUUUAAAACCCAACAGUAGGUCCAUCCCGUUAGCUUGCUAUCGGAAUUCAAGUGUCUUUGUGUUGCAGUUCUGGUUUUGCUAGGCACACCCCACCAAUUAUAGUCCUAAAUUUAGAUAAUUUCAUUUGAUAUGUAAUACGGUUCUUUUGUAAAAAUUCUAUGAAUCUACAAAAUGUUUUUGUUGUCAUGAUGUUGAACCUUGAUCGAUAUAAGAAGUGUAGUAGUAAAGUCUCAUAUAUAAACUAUUUGAUAACAAUAAUUGAAAAUGUAAAGAGAAAUUUUGUGUAAGAAAUUGCAUAUAAAAGAGGUCGCAAAACGCAUAGAAAAACAUACCUUUCUAGGCCUUUUUCGCUAAGAUCAAGUGUAGUAUCAUUCUUAUCAGUUUAAUAUACAAUAUAUGGGUCAUUGAUCCACACGAUAUCAACUAAUUUUUUGGAAGUGGAGGUCCACCACGAUAGCUUGCUAUCGGGACCUUCAAAUGUUGCCUUGACAUUGCACUACUGGCUUGCUGGGCACACCCCCACCAAUGUAAUUAUAGAUUAUUUUUUUCAAAUAAUUGUUAUUUAAUAAUUAUUCUAUAUUUAGGACUUAAAAAUUCUAUGAGGAUUCAAAAUAUGGCAAGGUAAGGUAGAUUUUAACUUGGAGUCUUUAAAUAUUUUAUGCACUUUUAAUUUCAAGAAGGAAUAACUUGGAUCCUACAAAUGCACGUUAGGUUCCAAGAUUACUUAUUUUAAUAGUAAAAUAAAAUAAAAUUACAUUUACCUAAACACUAGUUCCUCACCUCCCCUUCGCAUGUAUUUUAUUUUAGGAGUUUUUUUACUAAUUCUUCUUUCCAUAUAUUUUAGAAGUCUACAAUAAUUUUACUAAUACCUCUUACCAUUUAUUUUAGGAAUGUGGUACCCGAUCCAAUGUUAAUUCCGGAACGUGGCAACCGAUCCAAGUUAGUGUGUCGGAAGCAACACUUGAUCCAUUCAACAACCACAAACACAAUCACGUAUAUUCUCACAUUUAUACAUCAAAGUCAUGAUUCAUGGUAUACCUCAUUCAAUUAUCUUCAUAUUCGAUUUAUGUGAUCCACCAUGCAACAUUUGCAUACAUACAAGUAUCAUAGAGAAGCAAGAACGAACAUACAUCACACAAUUAUAGAAUCACAACCAUCCCCUACGAACUAUUCACCAACGAAUAUCAUGUAAACAUUAAUUCAACCAUACAUAGCCCUAGUUCAUCAUCUAAGGCUUCUUUCUAGUUAUUUAAUCAUAAUUCAUUUGGUGCACGAAGGCCUACGCAUAAAUCCUAUCAUUGAUUUACAUAUGCUACGUGGUGAUCACAGAUUUAUAACUAUUCAAUUCAUAAAAACCUAGCCUACCUGGGCGCCAAGCAGCCCCAUGGAGUUUUUGACUUCGAUUCUAAUUUUCAGGUUUCGCGGCAGUGAUAUUGACUGGAAAUCCGCCCUUUGCCGCGCUUCAUCUACAUCUCCAUCUUUCCCAAGCUUGGAGCAGCUUUUAAAGGUUUCUAUGGUGUUUUACGACUAAUUUAGGUAUUUUAGGAAGAAGGAGAAAAUAGGAUUUCUCAUUAUUUACAUUUUGUCUCGCCUAUUCCGCUCUGGCGCCAACUUAGCCCGCCCUGUCGCUGCAGCCAUAGCGGCAUCUGGCCCGUCCUGGCGGGACAGUGGCCCUGAAUUUCUUGAAUUUUUGUUUUUCCUAAUUAAUGGCGGUUUGGGUCGUUACACGUUGUCUACUAUAUACCGUGUUUUUACUCAUACUACACUUCUGCCCCCUACAAAUCUCAGUUUGUGUUAUAACUGUUGAUUGGAGUCGUGCGGAGUAGCUUAGAGUUUUUGGAAACUUGGGUGAGAUCCUAGCGUCAAGAGUUGUGAGUUUCCAUCUAUUUUUGGCUAGGCUUAAUCUUUAUGUUGUAUUCAAAGACAUCCUCUGCUUAUCUUGUAUUGGUAGUAGUCUUGUACUCUUAUGUUGGAUUAAAUUCUCAACUAGUGACUAAUACUAGGUCUUUGGAUUGUUUCUAUAUUGUUUUCGGUUGAUUAUCUUUUCUUCUCUUGAUAUAAGCUUUACGCUUUUAAUUGUUGGCUUCCGCUUGGUAGCUCGUUGCUUACGAGUUCGGGCUAAGGGUUUGGCUUACCUACUAGUGGGAUAUAGUAGAUGCCAUCAUGACCUGAAAAAUUGGGUCGUAAAAAUUAUAAUUUGAGGGAUAUGUCAUACGCCGAGGUGAAUUCUAUUAUCAAGUGUCGUCUUGCAUGUCGAAAUGGAUGCAUGGACAAAUAUGUCCCCCAUGGAUCCCGGACUGAGAGACAACAUGUGUGUAUCAUUAGGUAAGAUAUGCAUCACUACACGUUUAAUUACAUUUCAUUACACUACAUAUCUAUAUCAUUUGUGAACUUGUGAGUGACUUUCUGUGGAACUAGUGAUUGAUGACUUGAUAUGAUGUACUAUUGAUCUGUAAUUGUUGGAGAGUUGUUAUUGAGCUAUGAGAUAUUUAAAUUGUGCACUGUUAUGUUGGGCUGAUUUUUACAUGUUGUAGUUGUGGAAUUUCGGUUCGAAUGGCAGAAGUAAAUGUAUUCUAUACUCUUAGCUUUGUGUUUAAGAGUUUGCUUAUUGAGUACCGUGUGGUUUGAUAAUCACCCCUUGCUUCUACAUUUUUGUAGCUUACUAGCCCAUUUUUAGAGAUUUGUGAGGCGGUUGUUUAUCAUCUCAGCGGACUUUCUUACUCAUAUUUAUGAUCUUGUUCUAUUUUUGAGACAAACAUCAUUUGGGAGUUAUGUUUUCUUUCAACUCUAGUGUAAUACAUUAGAGGCUUGUGCACGUGACAACUAGGUUUUGGAGAUUUAGUUAAGUUGACCUGUAAUCCGCAUAUAAAUUGUUAUUCAAUUAUUUUUGUUAUACUUUAUUUUUGCAUUUUAUCAUAAUGAUUGGGUAUUAGACUGACUUGUCUUGGUGGGAUAAGACGAGUGUCAUCACGUCUAUUUUUGAGUUGUGACAAAAAAUAUUGUGUUUGUAAUAUGAUAUAAAAUUAUUGGUGCCAAAUUAUUUUAGAAUCUCAACAAUAUUCAUAAUUCACAGUCAUUUCGUCGAGUGCAUUACCAAAUAUGACAUGACCUAAACAGUUCCAAAAUGUCAUAUUCAUAAUUCAGGGACAUUUCAUCAUCAUUCCUCUUAAAUUACCUACCUACACAUGGAAAGAAGAGACCAAAAUUAGUAAGAAUAUUUGGUGUGUGCCAAAUUAUUUUAGAAUUUUUUCGUUCCAAAGUAAAAUAAUCUCCACUAAUUAAUUAGGGAGGAAAGCUGAAUAAAAAAAUCAUAUAGUAAAGAAAAAAAAUUAUAGGGUGUGUUUGGUAUGAAGGAAGAUGUUUUCUUGGAAAACAAGUAGAUUUUUGACUUAUUUUCUCAUGUUUGGUUGGUGAGUAGAAAAUAUUUUCCGGAAAAGAUUUUUUAGUGUUUGAUUUAUGAAUAAAAAAUGUUUUUGAGAAAAUAUCUUUUAUUUUUACUAGAGAGUACAAAAUAAUUUUUGAAAUUGAAAAUAUUUCUUAAAAACAAACUUAAUUUUUUUUUGGGUGGGGAGGUCGGGGAGGUGAAAAAAUAAAAUUUUGAACUUGAAAUUAUUUUUUAAAAACAAACUUAAAUUUUUUUGGAGGUGGGGGUGUUCGAUGGUAGGGGUGGAAAAAUAAAAAUUUGAAGUAGAAAAUAUUUUUUAAAAACAAAUUUCAAAAAAGUUUUUGGAGAAGGUUGGGGACUGGUAGGGGGGCUGAUUGGGGGGGGNNNNNNNNNNNNNNNNNNNNNNNNNNNNNNNNNNNNNNNNNNNNNNNNNNNNNNNNNNGUUGAGGGUAGGGACAAAAUAAAUUGAUUUUUUCAACAACAAAAUAUUGUAAUUUGAAGUUGGAAGAGAGUUUUGGAAAAUGAUUUCCUUAAUUUUUGAAGGAAAGUCAUUUUUCUUAAAUUUGAGGAAACUGAGUUGAUUUGGAAAACAUUUUUCAAAACAUUUAACCAAACCAAACAUGAGAAAAUUGAAAAACAUUUUCCAAAACAUAUUUUUCUUCAUACCAAACACACCCAUAGUGUGUGCUAACUUUCUCAAUUUUCUUAACUUUGUAAAUUAUAUUUUAAGAAUUGAAUGUUCAUUUACCAAACAUAGAUAUAUAAAGACCUACCUCAAGUUUCACAUUUGGGGAACAUAAUGGUGCUGCAAUGAUAUUCUUUUGGUAGGAACAUCUCCAUAACUUCCUUGCUACAUAGUGAAAUAAGUCACCAAAAAUUGUAAGCAUAUUUACUUACAAAUAUUUCACUAGGUAAUCAAAGUUAUGAUAUAAUUUUGAGUUUUAUUAUGAAAACUCUUAUACAAAAGAAAAUUUAAACAUUCAUAUAACAAAGAUCAAUUAUUUGUGUUCUAAGCAAAUUUAAGAAACUGUUCAAUUCAAAAGUUUCCAGUCAAAUUAUUUGUGAACUCGUUUACCUAAAAAUAUACAAACAUCUUCACUAAUUAACUAAGUGGGUAAAGAGAAUCGAAAGUGUUGAGAAAAAUGAUAAUUUGUACAAACUUCUUAAUUUGCUUAACUUCGUGAAAAACAUUUUUAGAAUACAAUUCUCUAUGAUUAAACAUAAAUAUAUGAAAAACAACCUCAAGUUUAUGUUGGAUUUUAAAGGUGUGAACAGGAAAUGAAGGGUUGUAACUCUCCUGAAGGGUUGUGACUAUGCCGAAAGGUUGUGACCUUUAUGAAAGGUUGUGUCCUUUCUAAAGGGUUGUGACCGUUUGAAAGGUUUGCCUUUUCCAAAGUGUUGUGACCUUUCUGAAAGGUUGUCUUCUUUCCAAAGAGUUGUGACCUUUACCCUUUGUUGGCUAUAAAUAGAGACAUUUUCUCUCUUUUUUCUGCAUCGAAUUCUUCCCUUCUUUUGCAUACAUUUCUUACAAAAAAAAAUUGAUCGAUCGUGUCUCUGUGUGAUUCGUUGCUGUCUUUUUGAGUUCAUUGAAAUUAUCAAAGUUUGAGGUACCGCUACUUCUUUAAUGGUUAAUCCGUUUUAUCUUGGGAGGAGUCAAUCUGCAACCUCGGGUACUUGAGGGGAUUAAAUUUCUUAAGGACACGCAGUGGGUCUAUGGACUUGGAUAGUUCUUUGUUUUUUUGUUCAUCUUUUAUUAUUUUUGGUUUGUUAAUCUGAAUACAGGAGGUAACAAGAUUAAGAAAUUUAAAUUGUUGAUAUUUUCUAUGGUAAGGAAAUUACUUCUCUUUUCUUUGUUCUUUUUAUGGAAAAAACAUAAAAAGAGAAUUAUUUUAUCAUAUGAUAAAAGAGAUUUGGGAUGAAUGAGUACUACUUUAAUAUGUCUGAGUAUAUUUUCUGUAGCAAGUUUUCCUUGGAUAGGUAAGAUUAUUUUUAUUUUCUUCUCAAGUGCAUUCAAGCAUUGCACCCCUUCAGUUUUGUUUUCAAUGAAAAAGUUAUUUUGUGCAUAAGGGUUAAGAUAUGCACUUUAAUUAUUUUUCAUAUAUUCUUGAUUUUAUAUAACUAUGAGAAGUAGUAAAUGAACAAAUGUUGUCUCUUAACAAUAUUUGAACAUGACUUUAGUUUCUCGUUGAAAUUCAAUGCCUUCCAUGAAAAAUUGGAAUAUGAUGGAAACUGGGAAAGAAAGGAAAACAAAUUAGCAAGAAAAGUGACUUGCAUGGAAUCAUUGCUGACAGAUAGAAUAUGAUUCAAUGGGAGUAAAAAUCAGGUUCUAUAUUUAUUUCCCUUGAUUAAAAUUUUUUUCUAUCCUUUAUAAGUUAUGAGAUUUAUUUCAUAAAUGUUAGGAUAGAUGGUCAUUAUGUGAUGAUCUCAGAAUAUAUCUUUAUUAUUAUUAAUAUGUGUUCUGUUAAGAGGUGGAAUUUUUUUUUUGUAAUUUUCUACUCCAGGUUAAAUUUGAUUGUGUCUGACUUUUGGAGACUAAAUAUUCUGAUUUUUUACUCCUUUGGUUUGAAGAAAAUAAGCACUUCACGAACAAAUCAAAUUGUGCAUUGGUUUGAAGAAUAUAGCAACUUCACCAAUUUAUUAAAUACUCUCUUUGAAUGAGUAUUCUGACUUGAAGAGUACAAAAUCUUCGUCGGGAAUAUUAAGGCUAAAUGAUUUGAAAAAGAUAAAAUCUCCAUCGUUAGCUAGGAAUAGAUUGAAUUUUUAUGGUUUGUAUUCUAAAUACUAAGUGGUCUGUCUAAUUGUGACAGAAAGAGAAAAAAACAAUAAUGACAUAAAAUUAGUGAUUUUUGUGUCUGCAAUGGGUGUUUCUAUGGAUAAAUCUCCAAAAGAAGGCUUCGUGAAAGCAUGGGAAAAAUAUGUGGAAAAUAAUUUCAAAUACUUGAAAAAUAUUUUUGAGAAUAUUUUUAAAAUGUGGAGGGUUGUUUACUUGUGAUUAAGACAAAAUUAGACUUACUAUCUAAUUUAAAUUUGAAAGUACAAGAUAUGAAAUUUAAUGACAUUCUUAUAUUAUGGUCGAUCCACAAAAUUGUUGGAGUAAAUUCGAUAUUGUGGUCGUUGAGUCUCUCUUUACUAGUAUAUGAUAUGACUAGUAUAAAACCAAAAUAUUGUAUUACUCGUUCAAAAGAAUUGUAUUCUUUGAUGAAAAAGUGUCACUUAAAAUAUUAUUAUUUUUCAUGAAAAGAUGUCUAUUAAAAUAAAUUUAUUUGUUUAGACAUGAACAUUGGUGAAAAGUGAUAUGUUUUGUUUGUGUUGUAAAAUAAAUAUUUGGGUCAUAUUGCCCUUAUUGGACCAGUGAGACUAUGGUCAUGGAUAAUUCUAUAACAAAUAGAAUGUUAUGGAAAGGUCCUUCUGAAAAGGACAUCUGGCAAAGUGCUGAUUCUGAAACAAUGUCUGUGUUUGACAAAGUUAUAAAAAGUAAAGAACAAAAUAUUUGUAGGAUAAGGUUACCUCACGGAAGGUUUUUUCAAACUUAAUAUUUCUGUUUGUUCUGACUUGCUUGAAUCAAAUUGUUUGUGACAUGAACUCUUGGGACAUGUCAAUUACAAAAUCUUGCAAAAACUUAUCAACUUAAAAGUUUUUCCUAACUUCUAAUGCAAUAAAUCAAAAUGUCAAGUAUGUGUUGUUGAAAGGAAUUUUAAUCCCUUAUAAUUGAUUUAUACUGACAUUUAUGAUAUGAAGUCAACACCAUCUUGUGGUGGGAAAAAGUGUUUCAUAAAUUUUUAUUGACAAUUGCACUAGAUUUUGUUGUGUCUAUUUGCUGAAUGGUAAGGAUGAAGCGAUAGAAACAUCUAGGAAAUAUAAAACUAAAGUUGAAAAUCAUUGUCAUGAUUAGAAGUGAUAGAUGUGGAGAAUAUGAAUCUUCUUUUGCAGAAAUAUAUUUGGACAAUAGAACCAUCCAUCAAAUUACUUUCACGACCCAACCCACCGGGCCGUUCGGGCACCUACAUACUAUCACCCAAGUAGGAGAACCCUCUUAUCCCAACCGUUACAACAUGCGGAAAUUAAAUAAAAUGGAAGAUAAAAGAAAUAGUAGGAUUUUAUAAAUAAGAACUCUUAAAAUGGAAGAUAAAAGAAAUAGUAGGAUUUUAUAAAUAAGAACUCUUAAAAUGGAAGAUAAAAGAAAUAGUAGGAUUUUAUAAAUAAGAACUCUUAAAAUGGAAGAUAAAAGAAAUAGUAGGAUUUUAUAAAGAAAUAGAUGGACUCCACUGACUGAGGCUCCCCCGGACGCACGUUCCACUUGGGUGAGGGAGUUCUACGCCAUCCAGCCUACUGUGCGAUGUGACGACCCUCACCCCGUCAUCCGUAUCCGGGGAGUUGAUAUCCCCCUGCAUGCACCGCCAUUAAUGAGGCUCUAGAGGUGCCGGAGAUCUCGAACGCAGAGUACGAGGCCAAGCUGAGGGAGAUGGAUCUGGAAUGGCUGAGAGACACCCUGGUGGAGCCUGCCCAUCGGGACCAAGUCUAUUGGGCCACUGCGGAUCGGAGGGCAUUCCUAGCACAUAUUGGUCGUCUAAUGCUAAGAGGUGGCUACACUAGGUGACUAGGAGGAUUCGCCCGUCGGGAAACCGCACCGACGUGACCUUUCCUUGGGCCCUGGUGGUGGCGUGUGCUAUACAGGUUAUCGAGUUGAAUGUGGGGGCGUAGGUCAUUUCGGAGUGGAAGAUGUUCUACCGGGGUAAUAAGAAGGCUUUUAUUCAUAUUUUUUUUUAAACUCACUUUCUACUCUCUUUUUUCCAGCACCUGCAUAUUAUCUAUCUUCAAAAAUUUAAUUAUUUUUGAAUUAAUAACUUACUGUCUAUCGAAUUCAAUUUAUUUUUUAGUUAAAUUUUGAAUGAUAAAAAGAAAGGUUAAAAAUGUCUCAUAUAAGUUUAAAAAAAUUUAAAAAUGAAGAAAAUAUGUCACGAUCUGAAAACUCGAGUAAUAAUGGAACCUACAAACACCCACCGGCGGGUAAGCCGAUCCAUAGGCAGAAAUGGCAAGUAAUGGGCAUAAUGGAAGGUGUCACGACCCGAUUCCUCUAGUUACGAUGACACUACACCUGCUAUAAUCCAUCAGUAGGUCAGCGACCCCAUAGCCUAGAACGACAAAUAAUUUGUAUAAGGGUAGAACUAACAUAAAUAACACUCAAAACAACAAAACGAGACAGAAGUGGAAGCAACCAAAAACUACAUACAAACGAUUACUCCCAGAACCUCUAAGUCACAAGUACAAAGAUGUCUAACAUGAACAAACAAGUCCCAAAAGUGGACCACAAGCAAGCCGUCUCAAAAGUAAGGAAACUACCUAAAUAUGUACACAAGGAGAGAGGUUGAUCCAAGACGGCAAGUGCUCACCCACGUCUCCGAUCCCAAAAGUUGCUGAAGAUGGCACUAACAAUCAUCGUCAGUAGCUGGUACUAGGAGCUGCAUCACGAAACAAAUGCAGAGUGUAGUAUGAGUACCAAAACAAAGGUACUCAGUAAGCAUUAUAGGUCGACUGAGCAAGAAAGGUAAAGACAAUAUGAAAAGAUAAAAUCUAGACACAAACUGAGGUCAAAGCGGAUAUGAAAGGAAGCAUACGAGCAUAUCGAAAGUAAAUCAAAGUACAACCAAACUAAACCUAACUAGACCCCAUAAGCCUCGAACCCCCAUAAGCCCGACAGGUACACACAAUAGCUAAGUCUAUUGAGAAAAGAGUACCAUGAACCAAAAUUCUGGCUCCCAGCCCAAGUAACCUCAAGUACUUAACAAUCCAAUCAACUCCCAACCAAGCUAGCAAGAGUGACAUUCAUUCUAGGCCGCUCAACCAGUCAGUCCACUCCCAGGGACAUAAGUCGCUCAGGUAGCAAGAGUGACAUGGGGGUGUGUCAACUCCGAAUAGAAUCUCAUUUAUCAAGGCCGCAUAGCAAUCCAGUCCACUCACAUGGGCGUAAGCUAGAGUAAGAGUGACCCGGGGCGUGUCAACUCCAAAGUGUAUCUCAAAUACCAAUACCAUGCCACCAUGGAACGAUGUCCACUCACAAAAAUUUACCAUAAGGCUCCAAGCCUAGAAAAUCCAAUCCUUUGACGCUGCAAUAGCACAAAACCUCUGGUGAUGCACCAUAGCGGCAGAAAUAGAGAGAGAAGAUAGAAGAUCCGUAAAUCUUUGAAAACGCCUAGACUAAGGCUAUACUAUUAGACUCAAGUCUUCUACUCGAGUCUACAAGAAUCUAGUCUGUCCAAAUUGACGUCGUAGAAGAAGCAACGCAAUUAGGCUACAAGUACCGCAAGUCUAAGACAAAACUAGUCUAAUCAUAGUCUAAGGCCGAACAUGCUCAAAUAUAUAACAAGUAACAACAACAAAUCAAGCCACAACAACAUGGAACAUAUACAAUCCCUAACUAGCAUGGUACUACACACCUGAAAAUACGGCCAAUCAAGCCGAAGCAUUGUAUCUAAUGUAGGGGGGAAAAAAGAACAACUAGGUACUCGCCUUCAAUUCAUUCAAAUCAACAUGGAUUUACGUAUUCAAGCUCAAUCUAAUAGAAAGGAAGUCAUAGCCUACUAGUAGCUUGACCGCGCGAACGCCAAUCUAAUUAGCUCUGAACAUUAUGAGAUUUGUGUAAAACUCUCUAAAUAUAAACUAGGUCCUAGGCCUAUAGUAACUGGAUGACUUUGGGGUUUUGCUUUUUAGUUAGCCUUUAAUUAAUUAGGUUUAAAAUUAAAAGAUACUACAAUAGAUACUCCAUCAAACUAUACAACAAAUCUAUGCAAAGACUCCUAUUAAAAGUUUCAGAGCAAAUCAUACGACAACAAGGUUUUAAAUUCUUGACUUCUUGGUGAAGAAUUGAAGUGAUUCUUCAAGAACACACUUGUGAAAGAAAUGUUUUAAUAAUGAUGUAUUUUGAAAUGAUAUAAAAGUAAAAAAAAUGAAAAUAAACCGAAAAGUACCGAUAUCGAAGAAAAAUCGAUAUGAUUGCAGUGAUUUUUAAAAAUCUAAUUUUGAUUAAUAUAUAAUAAAAAUACCCAAAAGAAAAAAUUGGGAUGGUAUUACUUUUUUAAAUAAUUGCACCCCCUAGUCAAGUAUAUCAUCCGUUGUAUUAGCAAACUUUUAUAUUACUAAAGUCACUAAAUUUUAUCCGUUGAAUUUGUAAGGGAAAAAGGCAUAAGUGUAGGAUCAAAAUAAUCAAAUAUCAUGCGGAUGUAAACAAAGUAAUUAACGUCAGAAGACAAGUAAGAAGAUAAAUGAGAAAUUUAACAAAAAAAAUAGAAAUAUUUAACGUAGUUCGGUCAGUCCACCUAAUCCAUAAAAGGAGAUAAGCAAUCCACCAUAUACAGGAGGGUACAAAAUAUCGAGAGAAAUAACCUCACAAAAUUUACUAAGAAUAAGUUCACACAAGUGGUAACAUAACACUUGUGUCUCACAAAUUCUCCUCAUAAAUAGAACUCUCCAUGCCCUUAGAUAUAGAUUUCCAUUUAGUUUACAUCUGCACACAAGUGUAACACUCUGAUAAAAAAAUUCAAACAAAAAUCUUCGUUACCCUCAAAUAAAUUACGGUUAAAAUUGAACUUAUCAAGUUGAAGGAAAAUCCUAUUAAGGCUAAAGUUGAACCUGUCGAUGAAGGAAAAUCUAACUAAUAAUAAUGAACUAGGUAUACACAAUAAUAAAUAUUCUUGAACUAUGACUAAAAUCCCAAAAACACGUCUCAUAGUCUCACUAGGCAUACACCGUCAAAAGUUGAUUCUCAAAAAUGUAGUGUUUGAGAAACACUUGAAUUUCUUUUCAUACAAAAUGAUUAAACCCAUCGCAAAAACAUGUAAAAUUGACACACGAUUUUUUACUUAGAUACCUAGGUUUAGAAUUGUUCGAUUGCACACUCAAUAUUUCUAAAAAGCUGCAUAUUAAACACAAAGUACUGUGGAAAAAUAAUGUUGCUCACUUUCUCAGACAAAUUAAAUGGAUCUCAAAUAAUAAUUUUCUUUUUUUCUGCCAAAGAAAUUAUCUCUCUUUCACCGACAUAUAGCAGCAAUAUACGUUUAAAAGAAAAAUUCUCAGUACCGUCUUCUCCGACAGAUUAGUUGUUGCUCUUCUAUUUCUUUUUCUUUUUGGUUGUCCUUUUUUUAAAAAAAAAUAAUUAAAAAUUGGUUUGACUGUUCAAUUGGAACGCUUAAAUAAAAAAUCAUGUCAACUUCAGAUGUCUCCGAUGAAUUCAGCCUUACAAGAACAACGUGAUAACGGUGAGUCGCUACGCUGAGACGUCUUCAAUCUGUCAGUCUAUCAAUCAUUGUCUGCAGUUUCCUUCAUCUAGCAACUAGGUGCUUUAUUGGUUAGGAAUUGUAACGACCCUAAAAACAAACUAGUAAAACUAGAGCCUCACAUGUGAGUUUGGAGUUGAGAACCUGAUGAAAUGAUGAGAAAUGACCGUGACGUCCGGAAACUAGUCGUUUGAACUAGUGAGUUGUAAGGGUCUUGUCGUUGAAGUUUGGAGUGUUGUUUAAGGGCAUAAGGGGUUGAUUAGCUAGUGGAUUAAUCACCUUUAUAAGCUAGCAAGACCUUAAGCUAGGUCAUGAAAUCAUUUAGAACCGAGACCCUCAAAACAGUCCCCUAAAAACAGUUUUUAGUUUUAAGUUAGGAGUGAGGGUCAACUUUAAAUGGUCAUAUCUUUUAUCUCAAAACGAAUUAGGUGGGCCAUUACCUAUCCUAUGAAAGGUCUUUGAGUUCUCUUUCCAACGCCACCGAGUUUGCCCAAUUCCGACCUUGGAGGAAAAAGUUAUGCCCGAAAUAUGAAGCACUGUCAGGCUGCAACAAAGGGCGAACUAAGACGGGAAGGGGCACAAUUUUUAAGUCAAGACUUUAUGGGUCCUUAGUCCUUUUCCAAAAUUGACCCUAUGCUAUUCUUUUCCUUUCCUAGCAACUAUAAGACAUUUUUAUGUCCCUAUUCCUUUCAUUUAAGUCACUCCUCUUAUAAUUAAAAAAAAAGAAACCCACCUCCUCUCAAAUAUAUCUUUCUCUACAAUCCUCCAUUGAAGAAGGUCAAGAACUUGGAGCUAGGACUUGGAUUGAAGGUAGUUUCUUCAUCAAAUUUCUUGGGGAAUCUUAGCAAAGGUAUAAUGACCCUUGAUCCUUGAUCAAUCUUUCUUUCAAGGAGUCCAAUCAAAAGGGUUUCAAAAGUGUUUCAAAGAACAAAAAUCUCAAAUUCUAAUCUAAGCAUGGGUUCAUUGGCAAAACGUUUCCUAAGCCAUUAUAUUGAUAAUUUAAUGUUUGAUUAAUGUUUUUAAGAUGAUUUCGUAUGGAAUUCCUUGAAAAACCCAUGUUUUCCCUAAAUUCCUAAAUUUGCUUAUGAAGUGGGUCUUUUGCUUAUGAUUCAAAGUUUAUGAAAUUGUGUUUGGAUAGAAUUGUAUUAGUGACUCUUAUGAUUUUCUACAUCUAUCUAUGAUGAAUUGAUGAUGUAUGGAUGAAUGGAAAGUUGUGGCCUUAUGGGCAAGUUAUGGAUGAAUUCUCUUGUGGUAAGUAAAAUGGUUGGGACUUGAGUGUUGUUGAUUAUGGCUUUGAAGGAUGGUAAGUUGACCUAUUUUAUGAAAAAUGUUGAAUUAGUAGGGAAUUGAGUAAUGUUGGUUAUGGCUUUGGAAAAUGGUAAGAUGGCUUAAUCUCUUAGUAUUGAUAUAAUUGUUAUUGGUUGGUUUGAUCCACCUUUGGUGGAGGUGGUUAUUUGUUGUAUUAUUGUGAAUUGAGGCCAUGAAGGGCAUUAUAUGAAUGUUAUUAUAUUGUUGUAUUAUUAUACACAUAUGAAGCUAUAUGUAAAGUUUUAUGUGAAGCUAUAUGUGAAGGAAUGAUGUGAAUGAGUUUUAUGUGAAGCUAUAUGUGAAGGAAUGAUGUGAAUGAGUUUUAUGUGAAGCUAUAUGUGAAGGUAUGAUGUGAAUGAGUUUUAUGUGAUCUUGUGAUGAUCCUAUGUAAAGUGGAUAGCAUUUUGAGUUAAAGUAUGAUUUCUCAUGAUGUAUAUAUGAAAUGAUGUUGGAUUAUGAAGUAUCCUUAAAUGAAAAUGUGUGUCUUGAAUUGGUAGUAUGAAAUGAUGUUGGAUGAUACAUGAAAGCUAUGGAAUGUGAUCUCUUAACUUGGUAGGCUUAGGCAUCCUUCUCUUGAGAAAUGAAUGUAUCUUGACUUGAAGUCUUAUUGUAUUGAAGUGGUAGACCUUGAGUUGGUGCCUCUUCAUAAAUGAAUGAAUGUCUAGAAUCGGUGAGACCUAAGCAUGGUGCCCUUUCUAUGAAUGACUAAAGGGGGCAUUUUUAGACUAUGACUUGAACCGGUAGACCUAAAGUUGGUGCCCCUUCAUGAUGAAGUCUAGAACCCUAUGCGAAUGUAAAACCAUGGAGUCGGUAGACCUAAUAGUGGUAGCCCUUCUCAUGUGUGAAAUGAUGAACCUUGGACCGGUAGGCUUAAGGCACCCUUUAAUGAAGAAUCGGUAGGCCUAAGGCACCCUUCCAUGGGGAUUUAAUGAGCUAUCCUUAAUGAACCUUGAUCGGUAGAUCCUUGUGGUGCCUUUCUUGGUAGAUGUGCUAUGGGUCGGUAGACCUAAUGAUGGUGCCCUCUCUAGGACAUACAUGUGAAUGAAAUUACUCUAUGGGAACUAAGGCUAAGCACCGAGUGGAUAUGGUUAAGAUGGUAGCUCUCCCGAGUAUGAGGCAAGAGUACAAUGAACAUCUUUGGGUAUCCCCUAAACCAUGUGCCUACAUGGGAUGUGUCCUAGUUCUACCCUUGGCAAGUAGAACACCUUCCACGGUGUAGGGUUUUAUGACACCGGAUUCCAUGUCUAGCUUGCAUGGUCUAUGUCGGUUAAUGCCUAUUCCCAUCAUGUGGGAUGUGCACUCUAGUUAUUGGAUAGGUUCUACAACGUGUAGGUAGUAGUAUGGGAUGCUAUCUACACAUGGCACGAGUAGGCUUUGAAGAUACUAAAGUGAGUUCCCUAAGUCUAACGACUAUUAUGUGAAAGUCCCCUUAUGUGCUUGAAUGUCUCCAAAAUGGUUUCUUAAAGAAUGUUGGUCUAUUGAUGUUAUGUUGUAAAGGAAAUGUCCUUAUCUAAGGUAAUCUUGAGGAACACUUAAGUGUGCUUGAAGAGGUUGUAUGGGCGGUCACUUCUUGUCUCACUCAAGUGUGUCUUAAGGUUAUAUUAGGUAGAGGUCCUAUGGUAAUGAAAUGACAUGUGUUCUUUUAAAGUUAAGCAUGGAUUGUAUAUGGACAUAUGUUGAGUAUAUGUAUGGUUGGCUAUGGUCUUAUAUGUUAAUGUUGACUUGUAUUAUGUCUCUUAUACUUGUAAAGGAAAGGUUUUAUCAAAUUGAUAUGAAAGCAGUUAUUCUUUGAAAAUGUCCUUUUUAGCAUGUUUGUGCAUGGUCUCCAUACUUAGUACUUAAUUGUGCUAACCCCUUUCUUUCCCUUUUUGGACUAAAGUGUAGGGAUUUGGAGAUGAUGACAUGUCAUGGCUUUGAUAGGUUUCUAAGUGUUGAAGAUGAAGACUUGGUGAGUCCUCAUAGAUUCGAGGACAAUACCCAAUAUGUUCUUUUAUGUCUUUUUAGUAUUGUUUAAGUUGUGUACGGGAUUAGUCCCGAAUUUUGUACUCUAAAGUAUUAGAUGGUUUUGAGACAUCAUGUAUAAAGUCUAGAAAGUCUUCCGCUUGCUAUUUUUUUUAUGCAAUGUUUUCUUGGUAAAGAAAGUUUUAAAUUCCUUAUGGUUUUAGUGUCUAUGCGAUGAAUGAAUGCUAAGAGGCUUGUAUUAGACUCUUCGAGGUCGAGUACGCCGGUUACGACUAGCGGGUGCUCCCGGGUCGUGACAGGAAUCCACCCUACUACUCAAACAUAAGAAGAUAACAUCUUCAAAAGCUCUGGAAAACUAUUAGAACAGACAACCAACAACCAUCCUUAUUACAAGGCUAGGGAACAGCUCUUACGCAAAAUAUUAAAGAUCAUCAUAAAAAAAAACAUUACAAACACAUCUAGACCAGAAACCACUUGGCAAAUGAAAGAAACUACAUGACAAAAUCAUCCAUGCUAAUAAAACCAGGAAACUCUAAACACAUAUUACUACUUGAAAAUAUGAAUGAAUUACACAAAAGUGAGUGAAAAUUGGAGAGAACAAAACUUGACCUACAUGAAGUUCCACAAGGAAAACUGAAAGGUGGGGGAUUAUUAAGUUCGGUGAAUUUAUUUCCAUAUCUAGAGAAGGGAUGCAGCAAGUGACCAUAAACACAAGGUCACAUGAAAGUAGGGAUAUGCAUAAAUACCGAAAAACCAAAGAACAGAAUGUCCACCCCUACCUGAAAGAAAAUCCAGGACAACUUAGCAAGCAGUAGCUAGCAAAGAAAGCUUGUGCCAACUGUAAAACUCAAACCUGUAACAACCCUCGGGGGGUAAAUUUCCAACGGAGGAGAACCUCAAAAAUAUUCAUAACUCACAGUCAUCUCAUCAAGUAUAUUACCAACAUAUGCCAUGAGCAGAAUGAGUACACUAUUUUGUACUGAAGUAGCUCUUGCACAUCCACCACAUAAAUCAUUCAGAAAAGACCACUAUAAUUGCCAGAAAAUGCAUACCUGAAGUAGUUUAUUAAUGACUUAGUCCCUUGGUACUGCAAAAAUACAAGAGAACAGAAGGAUGACUAAAUUCCCUUCGACCACGGAAUCCAAAAUUUCCAAAACGAAUAUUACUAGCCCAACAACAGUAAAUUCCCUUCUAUAUAUGUUUGUAUUUCACAAAAGAUACAAUUUUUUGGCUCUCUCACAUCAAACAUCUUCUAUUUAUUUCCCUCCAUACGUUCCACAUAUUGCAAGUGGGAAAAUGAUCUUCCAAAACUGUUCCGUAUUGUUGUCAAUUCUCUGUCCUUCCCAGCUUCAGAGUAAAUAAAUAGGCCUUACCAAUGUAAUACAAAAACUCUUCAGAAACAUAGUACCAAUGACUCCUUGAAGCUUAAAAAUGUAAAGGUACCACAUAAAGCUAAUGAAUUCCACACGUCAAGAACAAUUCAGAAAUGUGAGUGCAGUUGAGCUCUUUUAGUUUUAGCACCCUAUGGCUCUGCUACCAUGAUGCUCGACCAAGCCUCACUAACAGUGAUACAUCGAUCCCCCGCAUGUAGUUCAGUACCCGCGGGCAAGACAGAACUAUCCUUGGAGAAAGCCAAACACAACGGUUUUUGUGAAUAUUCACAAAGAUAGCAAUCGUUUUUAGUAAUACAUCAUGUGACGGUCACACCCAAAAUAAGCUACUUUGAUGAAUUUGACCUGUAAAAUCUUAAUAUAUGUAGAACUCUUAGAGGUCUUUUGGUAAAGUGUAUUAGCAAAAAUAAUGCAUGCAUUAAUUAUAGUAAUUCCUUGUUUGGUGAAUAAUUUCAUGCUAUGUAUAACUAAUGAAUGUGUAUUAAGGAGUGUAUUACUAAUACCAUGGAUUUCUAGGUAUUAGUAAAGGAUUUAAUACAUGCAUUAAUAUGGUUAAAGACACAAUUAUCCCUCAAAAGUACUUUUACAUCUUUCCACCAUAAUUGUGAAGGAUACUUUUGUAAAUAAAUAUUUUUAUACAAUGCAUACUAUGUUUAGUACAAAACCAAACAAUGCACAAGAAAUAAUUUAUGCAUAACUAAUACAAGCAUUACCAAUACACUCUAUUGAGUAUUAUUUUUAUACAUUCUACCAAACGACUCCUAAUAGUGCAUCAGAAAAGAGACUAAAAGACAUCAUAAGCAACAUGCUCAAAAAAAAUGCCAAGUACCAUGUGAUGAUGUGAUUUCACCUCCCUCUAUGUCCCCCUCUAAUAUGAAAAGCAACGUAUUAAUUUGACCAUAUUUCCUGAAUUAGUAGCCUACAGAUAUUGCUUAGAGUAUGCCCCUCACAUGACAAAAUGGAUACUGCUUAGAGUAGCCCGGCAUAUGGUAUCACGUUAUUUUCAAAUCCCCAUUAAUUAUUAUUUGAAACAUUUAUCUACAUGAAUGUGUUGUGUUAAAGCAUCAAACCAGAAAAAACUUGAACUUAAAUUAGACGGAUUACCAGUGAACAACUUCAUGAUGGAAGCAACAAAAGAAAGAAACAACUUCACUAACCACUUCAGCUAAAGAAUAAUCAGAAUGUUGAGCACGUCAUUUUAUAUACCUUCCUGAGGAACCUGAGAUAAUUCAAUCGACUUUGAAAGACCAAAAUACUAUGGCAUACUUCAUCUUAAACUUAUGAGGUUCUUAAAUUACAUGUUGCAC
rnacentral:lncRNA from 1 species